UACGAGGGGAGCUAGCGUUGUUCGGAAUUACUGGGCGUAAAGGGCGCGUAGGCGGUUCUGUAAGUCAGAUGUGAAAGCCCCGGGCUUAACCUGGGAGGUGCAUUUGAAACUGCAGGGCUUGAGAUCGAGAGAGGAAAGUGGAAUUACGAGUGUAGAGGUGAAAUUCGUAGAUAUUCGUAAGAACACCAGUGGCGAAGGCGACUUUCUGGCUCGAUACUGACGCUAAGGCGCGAAAGCGUGGGGAGCAAACAGG
rnacentral:rRNA from 1 species